rnacentral:tRNA from 1 species
AGUGAAGUGGCCGAGUUUAGGCGGUAAAUUGUAAAUUUAUAUACGAAAGCGAUUUCCUUCACUA